ACCGGCUGCAUCCUCGGACAUGCCCUGCAGUCUUGAUCCCUCUGGAGAUCCUCAUCUCGCCUGCCAAGAGAGAGCCUGAAAAAGGACCUUUCCCUCAUCAGAUUACGAGCUUCUUGGUCAGGAGAGUUUACCUGGACAUGCCUAGAUAAAGGCAACUGUUGACAUUUACAGAUACCUGGCAUGCAAAGCUCAGCACGCCGGCUCUGCCUCUCUCAGCACGUUGCCUGUAGGAAGCUCUUCGAGGGGCGGCUGUAUGGAAGGAGCCGAAGGAAAACAGAGGAGCGCGGCGACCAGGCCUGAAGACCCCAGCUGUGAUCAGGCCCUCAUUGUGCAAAGCACUGCACGCAGGCACGGUAAGGCAAUCUCUUCUCUACGGAGCUUAUGGUCUAAAUUGACCAGGGGAAUAUGAUCAUCCCAACUGUACAGGUCAGGAGCUGAGGCACAGAAGACAAAGUGAUCGCCCACAAUCACACAGCUAGUCGGUGGCAGAGCAAAGCGCUGAUCCCCACUCCUCCAAGGUGCAGCCCAAUGCUUUCUAAUA